ensembl:lncRNA
CACCUUUGGAACCCACUGACUAUGCUGUGAGGAAGACAAGAAGCCACAUGGAAAAGCCACAUGCAGAUGUUCCAGUCUCAGCCCCAGCUGAAGACUCAGCCGAUACCAGCAUCCACCUCCAGCUGACAGCAGCAUCCACCUCCAGAUAUGUAAAGCCUGGGUAAAGCAGAGCAACUAUCAACAUCUAGUCAAACCUGAGGCCCUGCAGUCUGCAUUAACAAUUGAAACUUCUGCAAUGCAUUUCCGAAGGCUCCUUAGAAGAUCUCACAGAACCAAGCAGCAGUUUUCCGAAGCAGCAACCAAGUGAAGAGUGCUUCUUUGCACUGACUAUCCUUCCUCCUUUUUCACUCUCCAGUCCCACCAUUGCUCCCUGGGAUCACUUCCCAAAUAGGCUAUCUACAGCAAAGCAUUUGUCUCCACUCUGCUUUCUCUUUAAAAGUAGUAAAUGCAGUUGUGCGCCACCCAGAUCUCCCCUUCCGGCCCACAGCACUCAUUCCAGCUGCUGCCAGGACCCUUGCCUGCCAGUGGUUCACAAUUGAGUACCUUUCAUUAUGUUGUCCUGGCCAAAGGGAGCUGCUUCAUCCAAGCUGACAGCCCCUCCCACAGCCUAACCCAAUGGCUGGUAGAUUUGGGGGUAAAGUAGCCUUGCCUCAAUUUUAGACAUCUCUGAAGGGCAAGCUCAGCUCCAGAAACAUCCAGGGGAUCCACCAAACCCUUUGUUGCAGCUGCAUCACAGUUCAACCUCUCCCUCUGCUUGCUCCUGCUCCUUACUCCCUUACAGCUGUUGUUCUCGAGAACACAUCCCAAUAUACCUCCUGCAUGUAAAUAUCCACCCCAGAGUACAUUUCCUAGGAAAUAUGAUCUAAGACACUUAACCAAGACAAUUGGUACCAGUAGUAGCCUAAAAAACAGACCCUUAGGAUGAGAUUUUGGAAGAAAAUCACUCACAGACAACAAUAAGACCCCACUGCAAUUCCUGAGACUCUCAGUUGUGAGAGGUUGAAAUGAAGUGCAGGUGGAAGGUGAAGGGCUAGGAAGCAGUAGCCAUGAUAGGGUACUGCCACAGCCUGGCUUGACAAGUGGUGCUAGGUCCAUGCCCAGGAUCCAAGCCUGCAAACCCUGGGCCACCAAAGCAGAGCACACAAACUUAACCAUUAUGCCACCGGGCUGACAGAAAUGUUACAUAUAUUUUAUCACAAUAAAAAAAUUAAGACAAUUUACUGAAGUUUUCCAUUUUUGUUCAAUAUUUGAGUGGCAUAGUCUUCUGGAAUGCAAGCUAGAAUACGGUUAAAAGAAUUCCACUUACCUUGCUUUAUUUCUUCAUAUGAACACACUCCAUAGUAUUAGAGUAAGUAAUCAUGCAAUUAAGGUGGAAAGUGAUAACAACAUUAUUCACUGAACCAAUGUGUAUUUUAUUUACUCACUAAUCCAGCUAUGGAAAUUAUACACGUCAGAUAAAUAUGUGUUUUGCCAGUCUUGCAACUUUUAGGGCAUAGGCAGUCUUGCAAGAAAUUCCCAUGAGUAGUUAGUUCUCUUCUGUAUUCAUAUACAACAUAAUAAGUUCUUAGUCUAAGUGCAUCAUUAUAUUUCCUGGGAAUCCCCUCAGAGAUUGAUAAAAAUGAUAAAUUAGCCAUUGAUGCAAGAUCUGUUACUUUUCUUUUGUGUAAUUCCACAGGAAAUUUCAAAAUAAAACUCUGCCAUAUAACCUGUAAUAGUAGAAAAUAUCCAAAUGCACUCAUAAAUUGGAGCAGAGGAUGUGUAACUAGAUAAAGUGGAAGAAUUGAUAAACAAUAUAAAAAAGUAGGUUUUGUUUUUAUUACUUAACUGAAAUAUUCACAGCGACACAAUCAUUGCUUUUGCAAUACAUGCAAGUUAUUGUUUCUGUAUUUAGAAUUAGUAUUUUCGGGCCUGAAAUAUUGAUUAUUAUUUCCCCUGAGAUCAUAUAAAUCAUUUUAAUAUGCUUAUGUGGUUCAUAUUUCACUAAGGUAAUACUUAUUUCUUAUGCAAUUAUAACUCAAAUAAAUCAUUCUUUUU